rnacentral:rRNA from 1 species
CAGUGGGAGCCCACUUUGUUGGGUGACUGCGUACCUUUUGUAUAAUGGGUCAGCGACUUAUUUUCAGUGGCGAGCUUAACCGAAUAGGGGAGGCGUAGCGAAAGCGAGUCUUAAUAGGGCGUCUAGUCGCUGGGAAUAGACCCGAAACCGGGCGAUCUAUCCAUGGGCAGGUUGAAGGUUGGGUAACACUAACUGGAGGACCGAACCGACUACCGUUGAAAAGUUAGCGGAUGACCUGUGGAUCGGAGUGAAAGGCUAAUCAAGCUCGGAGAUAGCUGGUUCUCCUCGAAAGCUAUUUAGGUAGCGCCUCAUGUAUCACUGUAGGGGGUAGAGCACUGUUUCGGCUAGGGGGUCAUCCCGACUUACCAAACCGAUGCAAACUCCGAAUACCUACAAGUGCCGAGCAUGGGAGACACACGGCGGGUGCUAACGUCCGUCGUGAAAAGGGAAACAACCCAGACCGUCAGCUAAGGUCCCAAAGUUAUGGUUAAGUGGGAAACGAUGUGGGAAGGCUUAGACAGCUAGGAGGUUGGCUUAGAAGCAGCCACCCUUUAAAGAAAGCGUAAUAGCUCACUAGUCGAGUCGGCCUGCGCGGAAGAUGUAACGGGGCUCAAACCAUACACCGAAGCUACGGGUAUCACGUAAGUGAUGCGGUAGAGGAGCGUUCUGUAAGCCUGUGNNNNNNNNNNAUCAGAAGUGCGAAUGCUGACAUGAGUAACGACAAUGGGUGUGAAAAACACCCACGCCGAAAGACCAAGGUUUCCUGCGCAACGUUAAUCGACGCAGGGUUAGUCGGUCCCUAAGGCGAGGCUGAAAAGCGUAGUCGAUGGAAAACAGGUUAAUAUUCCUGUACUUCUGGUUAUUGCGAUGGAGGGACGGAGAAGGCUAGGCCAGCUUGGCGUUGGUUGUCCAAGUUUAAGGUGGUAGGCUGAGAUCUUAGGUAAAUCCGGGAUUUCAAGGCCGAGAGCUGAUGACGAGUUACCCUUUGGGUGACGA